CCUAGUAACUGCGAGUGAAGCGGGAAAAGCUCAAAUUUAAAAUCUGGCGGUUCUGCCGUCCGAGUUGUAAUCUGGAGAAGUGUUUUCCGUGCUGGACCGUGUACAAGUCUCUUGGAACAGAGCGUCAUAGAGGGUGAGAAUCCCGUCUUUGACACGGACUACCAGUGCUUCUGUGAUACACUCUCAAAGAGUCGAGUUGUUUGGGAAUGCAGCUCAAAAUGGGUGGUAAAUGCCAUCUAAAGCUAAAUAUUGGCGAGAGACCGAUAGCGAACAAGUACCGUGAGGGAAAGAUGAAAAGCACUUUGGAAAGAGAGUUAAACAGUACGUGAAAUUGUUGAAAGGGAAACGCUUGAAGUCAGUCGCGUUGCUUAGGAUUCAGCCUUGCUUUUUUGCUUGGUGUACUUCCUGGGUGACGGGCCAACAUCGAUUUUGACCGGUGGAUAAAGUCGAGGGGAAUGUGGCUCCUUUGGGAGUGUUAUAGCCCUUUGUCGCAUGCAUCGGUUGGGAUCGAGGACCGCAGCACGCCUUUUUGGCCGGGGUUCGCCCACGUAACGUGCUUAGGAUGUUGGCAUAAUGGCUUUAAUCGACCCGUCUUGAAACACGGACCAAGGAGUCUAACAUGCCCGCGAGUGUUAGGGUGGAAAACCCUUGCGCGUAAUUAAAGUGAAAGUUGGGACCCUUGUCAUGGGGGGCACCGACGCCCGGCCUUGAACUUCUGUGACGGCGCCGCGGUAGAGCGUGUAUGUUGGGACCCGAAAGAUGGUGAACUAUGCCUGAAUAGGGCGAAGCCAGAGGAAACUCUGGUGGAGGCUCGUAGCGAUUCUGACGUGCAAAUCGAUCGUCAAAUUUGGGUAUAGGGGCGAAA
rnacentral:rRNA from 1 species